UCCUCUCGUCCUCUCUCUCUCUCUCUCUCUCUCUCCCCCUUCCUUUUUCUCUCCCUCUGUUUCGGCUGCUCCCCUCUUUCUGCUCCAGCCACACGCAAGGGGGAGACUUAAGCUCUGCGAGGGAAAAAAAGAAAAAAAAGUCUGCUGCUAUUUCUACAGUCAGGGCCUCCCCACAGCCCGCCCUUCCAAAGACCGGAGCUUUUUUUUUUUUUUUUUUUUUUUUUUUUUUUCACUCACUACUAGCUGGAUUUUAACCCUCUGCCUCCAACUAGCUGCACAGCAGCUCUGCAAAACCUGGCAACAAGUUGCCUUUUAGGAGCCGUUUUUGUACUUUUGGCGCAUUGAUUUUUGCAUCACUGUGGAUUUUGCUGCUGUCUCCUCCAUUUUUUUGAAUUUCAUUUUCUAAAGAUAUGCCACAUCUUUCUCUUUUCUUUUCUUUUUUUUUCUUUUUCCCUCCACUGACGGCUUCUCCCGGUCGUGUUUAUUUAGUUUCACGCUUUUCGGACGGGAAUUCGCCAAGGUGAUGUUUCUCCACACGUCGGGCCUCGUCCUACCUGGAGUGCCAGGGCGCCAUUUCCGACGGGUAACCUGCUUGCGUUGGACUCGUGGUCCCGGACGCUCACGCCAGAUGACAACCAGCGAAUGUGACCGGUGUCCGAUCGGAGCACAUAACGUGUGUUUUAACAAAAUAGCCACGACAAGCGCCGGCGGCCGCCGCAAAGUACCACACCUUGGUGGUCUCUCCUCUGUGUCUCUCCUCCGGGUUCCUCUCCGUGUCCUCUCCUGCGCUGUCUCUCAGUGUCUCCCGCUCACCCCUGUUGUCUCUCUCAACACUGACUUGCUCUCCUAACAGGGGUUUGAGUGGUGUGCUGAGCCGGAGCUCUUUCUGGGACAGGUGCCAACUGCAAACAAAUGACAUUAAAAAGGCGAUAAGAAACAUUUUUUUUUUCUUUUUCUUUUUUUUUUGUUUUUUGUUUUUUUUGCAAUUGUGGAAUUAUAAGUUAUUGCAGCUAAUAUGCCACCAGUCGCCCUGCGGGCCAUGCCACCCGCCGACCAGUCCGUGUUGCUAUCGCGUGAUGGUGUGAAGUAUAAAAAAACUUAUGAAGUGACCGAAGCCCGCCGGGAAGGAGGUUUGAGCACUUUGCCACACUUGCUCCAGUGAAGGCAUUUCGGGAGGUCGUAACGUGGGAGCGCAACAUAUAGACUGCUGAAUAAUUCAUGUGUUCAGCCGAGGCUGUGACUGGACGGGUCGUGCUAUUUGCAUGCAUCAGACAUGCUGUUUGUCUGUUUGCUAACAUUCCUCAUUCAAAGACUUGUUAACUAGCAGACGGGCUUAGCUGGAGCCUUGCAGACAGCCUCAUGGCCUCCUAUUGUUUCAGGCCUCGCCAGGCCCGGACCCAGCUGGUGGCAGGCAAGCCGUGCAGCCCUGAAGCUUGAGGCUCAGACUUUGUCUGAAAGAGGGAGAGAGCCCGGAGGUGGAGGCCGGGCCGGGAGCCGGAGCUGGAGCCGGGGCCGAGGCUGCGGACGGGACAGUCUCGAAUGGAAACCGCCGGGUCUCGCAGGAAGCGCCAAAAAGGGAGCUUAUGGCUUUCUCCUCUUCUUGACAGAGAUGUGGUUCAGAGCGAGGAGAGGCUGCCGAAAUCCGCAUCCCGGCCGGACGUUCGCCGCAUUUUUCUCACGAAAAACAGGGCAGUAAGACGGGGUUUUAGCCGCAGGCACUAACAAUUUAGCCAACAAGUGAAACCAUGGACAGACAGACUGGCGUUCGCAGCAACAUUAUGGAAGCUACCUGACAUGCUGCUGAAACCGUGAUGGAGGAAGGCAAUAUGCACGGGCCCCCUUCCCUCCUCCUCCUCCUCCUCCUCCUCCUCCUCCUCCUCCUCCUCCUCCUCCUCGCUGCAUGUUGCAGAGCAGGUGAGAAACAUUAGCAGAGGCAGCAGCUGCGGCCCUCUGCUCCACACAUGUGGGCCAGGAUAUGAGCUGGCUGCAGCUCGCCCACUCCCAGCACCGGUCAGUAACGUUAACAGUCGCCUCUCAGAAAUUGUGCUAAGAAAGUAGAAAGAGCACAGAUUAUUGUGUUGGUCGAUGUCAACAUAAUUGAAGUUUUUUUUAAAAAAAUUUUCUCGAUGGUUCUUUGAAGUGAAUAAUUUCAAACUGUUAGUAAUCGGAAAGAUUCUACACCUGAGACCUUCAAAUUCGGUAUGAAAAAUAAACCAUUGCAUGUUAAUUAUGCAGUGGAAGUGGUGGAAAGCUGACCAAAAUCAUCCAUAUUUCAUCAUCUUCACUAAAGAAAAAAAUCAUCUCAAUGGCAUUUAUCCAUCCUUAAGGAUUGCCUAUACAUUAUUAAAUGCUGCUGGCCUACAGAACCAUGCAUUAUUUAUAAAGAACUCAAUAUGACUUAUUGAGUGUAUGUUUAUGUGUAGUCUUUUACAGUAGUUGUCUUAGAAAGUGCAUAAGUUCCAUCAUGUUUUUUUGUUUUGUUUUUUUUUUUUUUUUGCAUAUUUUUAAGAUAAAUGUAUAAAUCAGGUGCACUAAUUUGAAAAAGGAAUUCCAAGGAAGGCCAAGUACUAUAAUGCAUAUGCUAUUAUAACAAAUUCUACAAAUGUAGGACAUAUCUCAAUAAUUAGCAGAACAUUAUUUUAUAUAUAUGUAUCUUUUUGUUUGUUUGUUUAUUAAUAGUAAAAUAACAGUGGCAAAGUGUUUAGAGAUGAUAUGAAACAAAUGUUUUUCAUCACUAGUAUGGAUAUACCGUGGACUCACUCAGUCGUUUCAUUUAAAUAUGGAAAUUUCUUGGCAUUGCAAUUUGUUUGAGACAUAUGUUCCUUGUUGGGUCAUUUGAAUUCCCCCAGUAGCUGGAACAGUGACCUGGGAGACCUCGGAGUAAUCAUAAUAUGUCCUGAAAACGCUCGGGCUGCAGUCGCAGAGGCGACGCGUCCCAGAGGAGAGUGCUGUGUGUUUGUGCUUUGCUGCUGUUUUGCAUUCAGUCAGGUGUGUCAAAGCGGAUUACCUGCAUGAACAGCGACCUGAAAGGACUUUUGUUUUAAAAGACUGUCCUUUGGGGUGAGGUAGUAGGUUGUAUAGUUUUAGGGUCAUACCCUUCCUGUCAGAUAACUAUACAACUUACUGUCUUUCCUGAAGUGGCUGUAAUGUCAUCAGAUGCCAUUGUCGGAGCGUUCGGAUCCACGCCGCGACACUGGAAAGAGCCUGUUUACUGCUGAGGAGGAAACUCAGUGGGAGCGUUUGUUUUGGAUUCUAACUGCUUUAAAUUGAUUUCCAUUAACGCCUCAAAAAAUGUUUACCUUCUUUUUAAUUCUGUAUUUUUUUGUAUUGCUGCUUUUGAUUCAUAUUUGGUUACACAGCAUUCAGUGUGUUUAUUUUCUGCACAUUGUGUGAUGGCCUGUUAACUGUUAAUCUCCUGAAUUCUCAUCCACGUUUGCCAACCUGUUGGAUCUUUCUGAUGUUCGUACGGGGUGAGGUAGUAGGUUGUGUGGUUUCAGGGUAGUGAUUUUGCCCAAUCAGGAGAUAACUAUACAACCUACUGCCUUCCCUGAAGGGCAGCAAUACUUCAACACACAGACAACAGGGGGGCAGCUCGUUCUCACUCCUGAACAGUGGUUACCUGGAAAUCCAGUCUCCACAAUCACACAUAACAACAGAGAGAACCAGCAGGUAAAGUCACUUCUGUGCUCGAUUUGUAUUUUCUGUUUCAAACACCAAUAAAUAUAUCAGAUGUUGAAUCGG